rnacentral:rRNA from 1 species
AGUGAACGCUGGCGGUAGGCCUAACACAUGCAAGUCGAACGGCAGCACAGUAAGAGCUUGCUCUUACGGGUGGCGAGUGGCGGACGGGUGAGGAAUACAUCGGAAUCUACUUUUUCGUGGGGGAUAACGUAGGGAAACUUACGCUAAUACCGCAUACGACCUACAGGUGAAAGCAGGGGAUCUUCGGACCUUGCGCGAUUGAAUGAGCCGAUGUCGGAUUAGCUAGUUGGCGGGGUAAAGGCCCACCAAGGCGACGAUCCGUAGCUGGUCUGAGAGGAUGGUCAGCCACACUGGAACUGAGACACGGUCCAGACUCCUACGGGAGGCAGCAUUGGGGAAUAUUGGACAAAGGGCGCAAGCCUGAUCCAGCCAUACCGCGUGGGUGAAGAAGGCCUUCGGGUUGUAAAGCCCUUUUGUUGGGAAAGAAAAGCAGCAGGUUAAUACCCCGCUGUUCUGACGGUACCCAAAGAAUAAGCACCGGCUAACUUCGUG